UGUCGCCCAAUCGGAAUGAAGGGAGGGCGGGAUCAGUGAAAACCACGUGAUCAUCCACGAGUGCGGUGCAGAGUCGCUGAGAUAACCGGAACUGCAGAUGCUGGAGAAUCCGAGAUAACACGGUGUGCAGCUGGAUGUGCACAGCAGGUCAAGCAGCAUCAGAGGAGCAGGAAAGCUGACGUUUCGGGCCUAGAUCCUUCGCUGAGACCAAGAUUUGUGCAAUUGAGAUACCAGCGAUCGUUGCCAAAGCCCUGUUACCUGUGGAGAAGGAUAUUACAAGUGGACUUUCAGGUGGGAAACUCAAUAAUUGUAACACCAAACUCUGACAGAAUUACUCAAUUCAUCAGGACCUGGAUAUUCGCAUUGUGUAUUUCCACAACUUUACUUCUGCACUAUUAUUCUUCUUUGAAGGAUCGAAAGGUAGAGUUACAGAUCUAUACAAUGCCUGUCCUUCCUCCCUGGCUCUCCCACCCCUCUCUUUUGGUAGGUUUGUGCAAACAUUGACUGGAUCCUUUCCAUGGAGGAUAUCUAUGAAUUGAAUUUGUUCUAAUGAUAAUCCAGCAUAUUCCCCAAGUGUCGCUCCACGAAUGUCCAGAGAAUUUCUCAGUUUCACAGUCUGUGUGCUCGUCUGGUUUCUUACUCGCUGCACUUAGUUGCUGAUUGAAAGUAUAGUCUGCAGUUGGAGAAUUCAAGCAGCUCCACAUCCAGGUCUGACUGUCACUUUGUUUAUCACAACCCAAUUUUCUCAGGAUUUUGAACAUUGAAGGAAAAAGCAGCACUCACAUUGGGGAGAAAUACACAUUGUCUGUGUGUCAGAGUCUGUAAAGAUUCGUCUGAAAUGUCCUAACACCAGCGUGGUGACACUGGGGAGAGACUCUGGAAACAUGCAGAUUGCAGGAAGGAAUUUCUUCAUCCAUCCCAGCUAGAAACUGACCACCAGAGUCACACUGGAGAGAAAACAUUCACCCGCUCUGAUUAUGGAAUGUGAUUCACUGUCAUCAAACCUGCUUAAACACCAGGGAGUUCACACUGGAGAGAAACCAUGUACUUGCUCGGAAUGUGGGAAAGCAUUCACUCAGACACCUCAACUGCUGAUACAUCAGCGAAUCCACACUGGAGAGAGACCAUUGACCUGUUCUGUGUGGAAAAGGCUUUGCUGACUCGAAUUCCCUGCUGAUACACCAGCGACUUCACUCUGGGGAGAGACCAUUCAUGAGCUCAGAGUGGGAAGGGAUUCACUCUGUCAUCCAAACUGGUACCACACCAGCGAGUUCAGAGAACCACAGUUGAAGCACUUUGCUGUCACUCUCACUGUCAAAUGAACCAUGACUUUGGGCUGUUUGUACAGAUGUUACUGAUCCCUGCUCAAUUAAAGGUGCUGGUAUUGUGAAUAAAAUGUUUGUAACAGUUG